rnacentral:rRNA from 1 species
ACGGAAGGCAGCAGUGGGGAAUAUUGCACAAUGGGGGAAACCAUGAUGCAGCGACGCCGCGUGAGUGAAGAAGUAUUUCGGUAUGUAAAGCUCUAUCAGCAGGAAAGAAAAUGACGGUACCUGACUAAGAAGCCCCGGCUAACUACGUGCCAGCAGCCGCGGUAAUACGUAGGGGGCAAGCGUUAUCCGGAUUUACUGGGUGUAAAGGGAGCGUAGACGGCUUUGCAAGUCUGAAGUGAAAGCCCGGGGCUCAACCCCGGAACUGCUUUGGAAACUGUAGAGCUAGAGUGCAGGAGAGGUAAGUGGAAUUCCUAGUGUAGCGGUGAAAUGCGUAGAUAUUAGGAGGAACACCAGUGGCGAAGGCGGCUUACUGGACUGUAACUGACGUUGAGGCUCGAAGGCGUGGGGAGCAAACAGGAUUAGAUACCCUGGUA